rnacentral:tRNA from 2 species
GGGGGCGUGUUGUAAUUGGCAGCCUGUUGAUUUACCAAGUCAUCGGAGCGGGUUCAAACCCCGUCGUCUCCACCA